GCGGGGGCACGGGGGGCCUACGGGAGGCAGCAGUAGGGAAUCUUCCMCAAUGGGCGCAAGCCUGAUGGAGCAACGCCGCGUGAGUGAGGAAGGCUUUCGGGUCGUAAAGCUMUGUUGCCAGGGAAGAAUAAGGGCGAGGUAAMUACUCGUCCGAUGACGUACCGAGAGAGACCCGWCGCC
rnacentral:rRNA from 1 species